AGAUUAAGUUAUUAAGGGCGCACGGUGGAUGCCUUGGCACUAGAAGCCGAUGAAGGACGUUACUAACGACGAUAUGCUUUGGGUAGCUGUAAGUAAGCGUUGAUCCAGAGAUUUCCGAAUGGGGGAACCCAGCAUGAGUUAUGUCAUGUUAUCGACAUGUGAAUUCAUAGCAUGUCAGAAGGCAGACCCGGAGAACUGAAACAUCUUAGUACCCGGAGGAAGAGAAAGAAAAAUCGAUUCCCUGAGUAGCGGCGAGCGAAACGGGAAGAGCCCAAACCAACAAGCUUGCUUGUUGGGGUUGUAGGACACUCUAUACGGAGUUACAAAAGAACAUGUUAGACGAAUCAUCUGGAAAGAUGAAUCAAAGAAGGUAAUAAUCCUGUAGUCGAAAACAUAUUCUCUCUUGAGUGGAUCCUGAGUACGACGGAGCACGUGAAAUUCCGUCGGAAUCUGGGAGGACCAUCUCCUAAGGCUAAAUACUCUCUAGUGACCGAUAGUGAACCAGUACCGUGAGGGAAAGGUGAAAAGUACCCCGGAAGGGGAGUGAAAGAGAACUUGAAACCGUGUGCUUACAAGUAGUCAGAGCCCGUUAAUGGGUGAUGGCGUGCCUUUUGUAGAAUGAACCGGCGAGUUACGAUCUGAUGCAAGGUUAAGCAGCAAAUGUGGAGCCGCAGCGAAAGCGAGUCUGAAUAGGGCGUUGAGUAUUUGGUCGUAGACCCGAAACCAGGUGAUCUACCCUUGGUCAGGUUGAAGUUCAGGUAACACUGAAUGGAGGACCGAACCGACUUACGUUGAAAAGUGAGCGGAUGAACUGAGGGUAGCGGAGAAAUUCCAAUCGAACUUGGAGAUAGCUGGUUCUCUCCGAAAUAGCUUUAGGGCUAGCCUCAAGUGAUGAUUAUUGGAGGUAGAGCACUGUUUGGACGAGGGGCCCCUCUCGGGUUACCGAAUUCAGACAAACUCCGAAUGCCAAUUAAUUUAACUUGGGAGUCAGAACAUGGGUGAUAAGGUCCGUGUUCGAAAGGGAAACAGCCCAGACCACCAGCUAAGGUCCCAAAAUAUAUGUUAAGUGGAAAAGGAUGUGGCGUUGCCCAGACAACUAGGAUGUUGGCUUAGAAGCAGCCAUCAUUUAAAGA
rnacentral:rRNA from 1 species